AUUGAACGCUGGCGGCAGGCCUAACACAUGCAAGUCGAGCGGAGAGGCGGACGGGGGAGUAAUGCCGGGGAAUCUGCCUGGUAGUGGGGGAUAACGUACGGAAACGGGAGCUAAUACCGCAGACUAGGAGAUGAGCCUAGGUCGGAUUAGCUAGUUGGGGGGGUAAAGGACUACCAAGGCGACGAGCCGUAACUGGUCUGAGAGGAUGAUCAGUCACACUUGAACUGAGACACGGCCCAGCCUCCUACGGGAGGCAGCAGUGGGGAAUAUUGGACAAUGGGCGAAAGCCUGAUCCAGCACUGCCGCGUGUGUGAAGAAGGUCUUCGGAUUGUAAAGCACUUUUAGUUGGGAGGCGUUACCAACAGAAUAAGCACCGGCUAACUUCGUGCCAGCAGCCGCGGUAAUAA
rnacentral:rRNA from 1 species